rnacentral:rRNA from 1 species
UACGAAGGGGGCUAGCGUUGUUCGGAAUUACUGGGCGUAAAGCGCGCGCAGGCGGUUCUUCAAGUCAGAGAUGAAAGCCCAGAGCUCAACUCUGGAAUGGCCUUUGAGACUAGAGAACUAGGGUACGGGAGAGGUGAGUGGAAUUCCGAGUGUAGAGGUGAAAUUCGUAGAUAUUCGGAAGAACACCAGUGGCGAAGGCGGCUCACUGGCCCGUUACCGACGCUCAGGCGCGACAGCGUGGGGAGCAAACAGG